UCCUCCAACUGCAUUUCCUGCACACAAACAUGAGACAAUGAGGAUUAAUCACAGUCAGAGAGAGAAAGCAGGAUGAGCGAGAGAUGACGUUAAGGAGGAGGAGGAGGAGGUGUGUGUGCAUAGUCGCUCGCUCAGGGGUCACAAAAGAAAU